rnacentral:snRNA from 1 species
AAGCGUGGCCUAUCGAUC